AGAGUUUGAUCCUGGCUCAGAUUGAACGCUGGCGGCAUGCCUUACACAUGCAAGUCGAACGGCAGCACGGGGGCAACCCUGGUGGCGAGUGGCGAACGGGUGAGUAAUACAUCGGAACGUGUCCUGUAGUGGGGGAUAGCUCGGCGAAAGCCGGAUUAAUACCGCAUACGCUCUACGGAGGAAAGCGGGGGAUCUUCGGACCUCGCGCUAAAGGGGCGGCCGAUGGCAGAUUAGCUAGUUGGUGGGGUAAAGGCCUACCAAGGCGACGAUCUGUAGCUGGUCUGAGAGGACGACCAGCCACACUGGGACUGAGACACGGCCCAGACUCCUACGGGAGGCAGCAGUGGGGAAUUUUGGACAAUGGGGGAAACCCUGAUCCAGCAAUGCCGCGUGUGUGAAGAAGGCCUUCGGGUUGUAAAGCACUUUU
rnacentral:rRNA from 1 species